CAGNCUNGUGUCCNUGAGGUGUUGGGUUAAGUCCCGCAAUCGAGCGCAACCCCUACCAUUUAGUUGCCAUCAGGUAAUGNCUGAGCACUCUAAUUGGGACUGCCUACGCCAAGUAGUGAGGAAGGUGGGGAUGACGUCAAGUCCGCAUGGCCCUUACGCCUAGGGCUACACACGUGCUACAAUGGAUGCUACAAUGGGUUGCGAAACCGUAAGGUGGAGCCAAUCCCUGAAAAGUAUCCUCAGUUCGGAUUGGAGUCUGCAACUCGACUUCAUGAAGUUGGAAUUGCUAGUAUCGCNAUCAGAGGCCGCGGUAAU
rnacentral:rRNA from 1 species